rnacentral:sRNA from 1 species
AUGGAGGAGAUUUUGGAACGGAAGACUCGAGGGCCGCCGAGCCUCGGCGGUCCCUGCGGACUUCUGGCCCGGUCUUGGCGGACCGGGCGUAGGUCCGCGGGGCCUCUCGCACCCCUCCUCCGGUGCGAGCGCAGAUCGGGCGCGUCGACGCCCGGUUACCGCAGUCGCUCUGCGGUAAGAGGCCUUAGUCCGGCCCCGCUGCCGAGCAAGGCCCGGUCUGCGGGUGCUCUGCGGACCGGGGCCGGGGCCCCGCUCGGCAGGCGAGCAGAGUGUCUGCGGCAGCGGCAGCGGGUCCGAGGCCUCGGCACGGGACCCCGCGCUCAGGUCGGGAAGAGCGCGGGGAAAGGGGCCCCCGUCGUCUCAGCGGAGAAACGGCACUUUCCCCGCUACGAGAUCGGCACUCGCUGUCGAGGCCGGUCGGUCGAGCAGAGGUAAGGGGCGGCUUCCCCUGCUCUGCAGGCUCGGCCGGUUUCCGACGCGGAGAGCCAGAGCAGGCAGGUCAGCGCAGUUAACGCAGGCCGUCCCGAGGAAAUGCAUAUCUGCCGCGCCGUGUCGAGACAGCCGGUGCGCGCAGUAUCUAGCCGUUUCCGCAGGCGGUCUCGAGGAAUCGCGGUUCGGCCGCUCUGUAUGGUACGGAUUCGUGUGCCCGAUCUUACCAUAUGGAGGAGUUUUUGGAAC